ACGGGAAAACAAAAGACGUUUCCAUUCCGGGCGCAGCUCUGGAAGCAGUCGCAGGCGGGAGGUGUUGACAAAUCGUGUGCACGGGGUUACGUUCCCGUUCUACUCGAGCGCCAGCUCUGCCAUCGGGUAGGAUCGGUGAUCCCGGGCCGUGCACAUCGUACAGGUGAGCUGAAGAAAAUUGUGGCACUGGAAUUGCAAAGAUGCAGCUGGAUCCCAAAACCCUGCUGAGCACAGGAACAUUGAUGGAAACUGAAAAGUGGAGACUGAAAAAUGGCAUGACAGAGGAGGCAAGGAUUUAUGAAUAUCUCCCAGGAGGGCCAAGGUCUAAAUGUAACAGCCAGAGGCAAGCCACAAACAUUGGAAGAGAAGAGCUGGCAUGGAGCACCAACCUUGCCAGUGUUAGGGAAAAAAAAGGAAAAAGGGAAAAAAGGAAAAGGGAGAAAAGGAAAAAAGCCUGCAUUGGACCUGCUUUUUGAAUUUGAGACCAUCCCAGAAAACAGAG